ACGUCCAACUCUUUAGCUCCCUUCGUUAUCUCUCCCCUGCCCAUCUCCCUCUCUCUUUGAUAACGCCUGCAUCCCUUAAUUCCCUUCGUUAUCCGCUCUCUCCCUUGCCCCUCUCCCUCUGUCCGUCUCUAAAUUAAUUUGAUGUUCAGCCUCCUCGCUUCCGCUUCAGUUUCCUCCGUUUCUCAAUGCCAACACUCUCUAAAUUCCUCCUUAAUCGCUCUCUCCCUAGCCUCUCUUCCCCAUCUCUCUCUGAAUUAUUUUGACGGUCGAUCUCCUCACAUCCACUGAUGUAUAUGUCCUAAACCUCCAUCGCUGAUCUCCGGCCACGACCAUUGUCUAAAACCCUUAAAAAAACCCACCAUUUUCCCCAAAAUUCCUGUAAUUUCCCCAAAAAUCUCAACUCUCUCUCUACCCCUCGCCAUGGGGACCUCAGUUCAAGUCACUCCUCUCUCCAACGUCUACAACGAGAGCCCCCUCUGCUACCUCCUCUCCGUCGACGGCUUCAACUUCCUAAUGUACUGCGGCUAGAACGAUCAAUUCGAUGUUAAUCUCCUCCAACCCCUCUCCAGGUUCAAAUCCCUCGCUUAAAUUUGAGUUUUUGAUCGAAACCCUAGAACCACUCAUAUCCAAUUUGUAGGGUGGUCUCGAAGAUCGAUGUGGUUCUGAUAUCACAUUCAGAUAUACUUCAUGUUGGGACUCUGUCGUAUGCGAUGAAGAAGCUAGGGCUGUCUGCGCCCGUGUAUUCGAUGGACCCAGUGUGCAGACUUGGGCAGCUGACGAUGUAUGAUUACUACGUCGCUCGCAGGCAAGUUUCAGAUUUUCGACUUAUUCACCAUGGACGAUAUUGAUUUUGCCUUCCAAAACAUUACGAGGCUGAGAUACUCCCAAAACCAUCAUCUCUCUGAUAAAGGAGAGGGAAUCGUCAUAGCUCCUCAUGUCACAGACCAUCUUCUGGGAGGUACCGUCUGGAAGAUAACAAAAGAUGGAGAAGAUUUUGUGUAUGCCGUUGACUUCAACCAUCGGAAAGAGUAGUUAAGUACCAUUUAAACGAAGAUUUGUAUUCUUAUUUAAUGAUCAUAAGGUUGUACUCACUAAAUUGGUUUAUCAGGCACUUGAAUGGAACUGUCCUUGAAUCUUUUGUCUGGCCUGCUUUUCUGAUAACAGAUGCUUACAAUGCUUUAAACAAUCUAGUUUACAAACGUCAAAGGACCAAGAGUUUCUUGGUAGUUCCCUACUGCCUUCUCAAUUUUAUGUCUUACUUAUUUUAUAUUGUUGUUUUCUUCUCUGAAUUCCUUACCUUUUGUGUUUCAGCUUGUUGGCUUUGUUUUGGAGAUAAGUUUAUUAUUUUAAAUAAUAGCUCUCAAUUGUUUACUUACACAGCUGCCACUUGAAAAUUCUGCAUUUGUAAUAGCUAUAUUGCUUACGUAGCUUUAGAUUUUGGCUUAGUUAUAGAUCUCCCUUGCACUUGGCAAACGUACAACAGAAAUUUUCACUAUGUUGCCAUUGUUGUAGAAGAAAAUUUCAUGUAAAUAUAUUUGACUGACCGAUUGUUUUUUGUAGAUUGAAGUAAAUGAAAAGAAGGCUACUACUCUUUAUAAGUUCUUGAUAUAAAAAUUGAGGUUUUUUUGACGAUGACAUCAAGUGGAAUUUUACUAAGUUCCUUCUGGACAAAGAAGGAAAAGUCGUGGAAAGAUACGCACUAACCACCACAUCUUUGAAAAUAGAGGUGGUUACCACUUCUCGAGAACUUAGACCCUUGUGGGAUAUUAUCACGGGGUGGUGUUGUUUUAGCAUAUCUGUACGGAGAAAUGUUCAAGGUGGCUUUCAGACAAAAUAAAGAGCUCAAGGGAUGUAUGACUUUAUUAUAAGUUUAGGCAUGGGAGAAACUUGUUAUGAAACAAAGAUUAUGUGAGACUCGAGCUUUAGAUGCACCAUUUCCACUUGGCUACAGAGAGGUGAUUGUGAAGGAGGAUCUUAUAUACGUAUGCCGACCAGAUUGACGGAGACGAGAAGGAUCUUGUAGGAAUGAUGAUGAAGUUGGACUGUCACAACUUCACACACAACCAGACAACCAGCUCGUGCAAGCUCAAGUCCAUAGAGGACAACGACGAUCUGAGUGGAUAAGAAGAGAGAGGCAAAGGGGGCAUUCUAGGUUGUAUGUGAUCGAUUUAUGAAUUUUCUGUAUGGAGUCUAUUUAAAUUAUCGAUAUAAGUUAUAUAUAAAUCAAAACACUUAAUAUCUUUAGUUUGGUUA